rnacentral:rRNA from 1 species
UGUAAGCGUAUACCAAAGUUGUUGCAGUUAAAACGCUCGUAGUCGGAAUUUGGCAGUUCCGGAUGUGUGCACGUCGUGUGCGCACUUCGCGGGGAUUGCUUUUGUGGUCUUGCGUAGGAUGAGGCACUUUUAUUAGUGAACGUCCUCACGCAACCACUUUUUACUGUGAGAAAAUCAGAGUGUUCAAAGCAGGCAUUUGCCGUGAAUGUAUUAGCAUGGAAUAAUAGAAUAGGACUUGGUUCUAUUUUGUUGGUUUGUUGGGACUGAGUAAUGAUUAAGAGGGACAGUUGGGGGCAUUUGUAUUUCGGUGCUAGAGGUGAAAUUCUUAGAUUACCGAAAGACAAACUGCUGCGAAAGCGUCUGCCAAGGAUGUUUUCAUUGA